rnacentral:rRNA from 1 species
CAGUCGCCGCGGUAAUACGAAGGGGGCUAGCGUUGUUCGGAUUUGCUGGGCGUAAAGGGCGCGUAGGCGGACUGAUAAGUCAGGGGUGAAAUCCCAAGGCUCAACCUUGGAACUGCCUUUGAUACUGUUUGUCUUGAGUUCGAGAGAGGUAAGUGGAACUGCGAGUGUAGAGGUGAAAUUCGUAGAUAUUCGCAAGAACACCAGUGGCGAAGGCGGCUUACUGGCUCGAAACUGACGCUGAGGCGCGAAAGCGUGGGGAGCAAACAGGAUUAGAUACCCCAGUAGUCCCUGUCUCUUAUAC